rnacentral:rRNA from 1 species
AUCGGAAUUACUGGGCGUAAAGCGAGCGUAGGUGGCUUGAUAAGUCAGAUGUGAAAUCCCCGGGCUUAACCUGGGAACUGCAUCUGAUACUGUUAAGCUAGAGUAGGUGAGAGGGAAGUAGAAUUCCAGGUGUAGCGGUGAAAUGCGUAGAGAUCUGGAGGAAUACCGAUGGCGAAGGCAGCUUCCUGGCAUCAU